rnacentral:rRNA from 1 species
GGACGGGUGAGUAACACGUGAGCAACCUGCCUUCGAGAGGGGAAUAACGGCUGGAAACGGUCGCUAAUACCGCAUAACAUACCGGGAGGACAUCCUGCUGGUAUCAAAGAUUUUAUCGCUCGAAGAUGGGCUCGCGUCCGAUUAGGUAGUUGGUGAGGUAACGGCUCACCAAGCCGACGAUCGGUAGCCGGACUGAGAGGUUGAACGGCCACAUUGGGACUGAGACACGGCCCAGACUCCUACGGAAGGCAGCAG